UUGAUGUGAUUAUCCAGCUGGAACGCAGGGACAACAGUCGUUUCACUGAUAAACAAACGAGGCCACACACAAGUGUCGUUUCGACAGUCAUGCUACAAGCUAGCACACAGAACGCCACCAGCGAGUGCCACAGAAAAUGAAUACACCACGAUGAAUCCUAGUUUCACGCUGAGCUUCGCUGUGUCCACCGCAGAAACCAAACAACCCCAGCGAAGCUAGCCAGUGAUGCUAGUAUAGCCAUCGCGCUUUGCUCGGGAAAUUCAAGAAAAGCUACCUCUACUUCUGGUGCAAGCGGGUCUGCGGAGACAGCGAGGAGUGAAUCACAGCAGUGGGAGCCGUGUUCCGUCCUUGGAACAACGGGACAAUUCGUUUCCUGGAAGCUCCGACGGAUCCUGCUAACGCAGCUAGCUCCUCGCAGGCUAGCCAGGUCGUGUGAUCUCCGGGCACGCGCGCAGCUCCGCGGUGUCGCCAGCAGAGGGCGACAUUGGUCCGAGAGUCGCCGAGCUAGCACCUAGCAUCCACCUGCGAUAGUUUUGCUCUGACAUGAGGGCCGCAUUGUUCUGCUGGCCUCAUCGGACCGGGACCUUCAGCAUGCACUGGGGCCGGGAGUGAGGCGGCCGGGAUGAGGAUCAGCACCUCCAAGUCUGUGGCCAUGGUUCUCGACCGGAAUAAGGUGACGGUGAGAAGCUCCGUCUGCCAGGCCUGAUCCCUGCUGCGGUUCUGGUCCCACACGGGGUAGUCGUUGUUGUCCAGCAGCACCCGGAGAGAACCCACGUCACGACCCACGAUGCGGUAGUCAAAGGUGAGGCAGAAGCUUCCCUGCUGGGCUCGGUCGCUCAACAGCAACUUCAGUUUUGCCACAUCAUCCUGCUCGCCCAUCAGCCCGUUCACAGACAUGUAGUACUCUGCGCCUGAGCAACAACCUUGUGUAAAACUCAAAGAAAGUGGCAGGGUUUUGAGAUAAUCACCGUUAUCAUGGUACGCCACACUCCAGUCCAUGUCGUCCGUCUUGUCCUGGACCCACUCGCAUGCUCCUUGAUCGAAGUUGCAGUCCAUGAUGAACUCUAACAUAAAAGGAGAUUGUCAAGCCUGAUCGGUCACUUGUUGUGAGGGUCUAAAAUGGACCAUACCUUCUUGAACUGGUGUUAUUUCAAGUUCUUUGACUUCAGUUGCAGG